GACGAACGCUGGCGGCGUGCUUAACACAUGCAAGUCGAACGGAAAGGCCCUGCUUUUGUGGGGUGCUCGAGUGGCGAACGGGUGAGUAACACGUGGGUAACCUGCACUUGACUUUGGGAUAACUUCAGGAAACUGGGGCUAAUCCCGGCUAGGAGCUCCUGCUGCAUGGUGGGGGUUGGAAAGUUUAGGCGGUUGGGGAUGGACUCGCGGCUUAUCAGCUUGUUGGGUGGGUAGUGGCUUACCAAGGCUUUGACCGGUAGCCGGGCUGAGAGGGUGACCGGCCACAUUGGGACUGAGAUACGGCCCAGACUCCUACGGGAGGCAGCAGUGGGGAAUAUUGCACAAUGGGCGGAAGCCUGAUGCAGCAACGCCGCGUGGGGGAUGACGGCCUUCGGUUUGGAAACCGCUUUCGCCUGUGACGAAGCGUGAGUGACGGUAAUGGGUAAAGAAGCACCGGCUAACUACGUG
rnacentral:rRNA from 1 species